rnacentral:lncRNA from 1 species
CCGUAUAACGUUUCACGCCUCACCCCUCCGAUUCUUUUUCCAGCUUUCAGAAAACAAUUUUCGGUGCCUUAAUUACCCUCCGACUUCUAUAUUCAAAACUCGAUUUCAAGGUCAAAAAUUCUCAGCCGCCUGUUUUUUCACAUUCGCUACUCUCUGAAGCUCGCGACGACGAAGAAGCAGAUCGAAGAAUUGCUGGAGAACGGUAAGAACCCAAACUUUAUAAAUUGGUUUGGAUUCAUCAAUCUAAUCUUUCGUUCCUAUUGUUUGUGAUGUCCUUUUGGUUUUGAGAGCUAAGGUUUCCCCACCAUUUUUUGAUUCGCAAAAUGGAAGUUGAUUUCAUUGCUUUGAUUUCAACAUUUUUUGAGAGCUAAGGUUCCCCCACCAUUUUUAGGGUUUGAUUCGCAAAAUAGAAGUUGAUUUAAUUGCUUUGAUUUCAACAUUUUUUGAAUCUUUCUAUCUGUUUCACACGAACUUCUGCAAUUAGGAAGACAAGAAUUUUGAUUUGGUUUGGAUAAACGGCCACGCAGUGUGCAUCUACAUAUGUAGCGAUUAAUGUGUCUGAAAUUAGGAAGACAAGAACUUGAAUCUCAAAUUGGUUGCUCUCUGACCCAGAUAUUGGGCAUUCGUGCAUCUACAUAUUUGGCAGUUGUGCACCUAGAUAUUGGGUUAUCUCAGUUCCUAAUAUUGGGUUAAGCUCAUCUGUUCUUUGUUUCGUAGACGACAUCGUUGUGGAAUACAUACCAGCGGCGCAGAGACGGUAGGCUUGGUUGGGCAUUGCAUUGCAACAAUUGAAG